rnacentral:rRNA from 1 species
UGAGGAACAUGACCUUCGGCGGGGGAGUAGCCGGCCCAACGGCCGGGUAAUACCGCGUACGACCACAUGGGGACAUCCCUGAGUGGUGAAAGCAGCAAUGCGCCGAUGGAGUGCCUCGCGGCCUAUCAGCUAGUUGGUGAGGUAACGGCUCACCAAGGCGACGACGGGUAGCUGGUCUGAGAGGAUGGCCAGCCACAUUGGGACUGAGACACGACCCAGACCCCUAGGUGG